rnacentral:rRNA from 1 species
CUACGGGUGGCUCCAGCAAGGAAUAUUGGGCAAUGGGCGCAAGCCUGAUCCAGCGACACCGCGUGGAGGAAGAAGGCCUUCGGGUUGUAAACUUCUUUUCCCGGGGAAGAAUCAUGACGGUACCUGGGGAAUAAGCCUCGGCUAACUACGUGCCAGCAGCAGCGGUAAUACGUAGGAGGCGAGCGUUAUCCGGAUUUACUGGGCGUAAAGAGGGCGUAGGCGGCUUGUCAAGUCGGAUGUGAAAUCUCCCGGCUUAACUGGGAGGGUGCAUCGGAAACUGAUGGGCUGGAGUGCAGCAGAGGGAAGUGGAAUUCCCGGUGUAGUGGUGAAAUGCGUAGAUAUCGGGAAGAACACUAGUGGCGAAGGCGGCUUCCUGGGCUGUAACUGACGCUGAGGCCCGAAGGCGUGGGGAGCAAACAGGAUUAGAUACCCCGGUAGUC